GGGCCGUUAGCUCAAUCGGUAGAGCAACUGACUCUUAAUCAGUAGGUUACAGGUUCGAUUCCUGUACGGCUCACCA
rnacentral:tRNA from 3 species